AAUACACGCCUUCAUCUUCCUCUCCCAUCCUGAUAUUUUUCCUCUCGUCCGUUCUGCUCGUCUCCCGGACCUCCCCGCCACCGCUGCACUGUUGCACGCCUGCACCGCUUCCUCUCCCUCGCCUCUUCCACCACCAUGGUGUCCUUUACGUCGUCAUACCCACACCAUCCUCCUCCUCCUCCGUGGCCAGGGCAGCGACGGGCGAGGCGAGGAGGUGGUACGCGAGGCCAUGGCGAGGCGGCGGGCGAGCGUCAAGACGGGGGCGGCGAGAUUCUUGAGGUGGAUGAUUUAUUGGCUAGGAGAGCCGUCUCUGCUCUCCCAUUCCCCGCGGCCCUCCUCGACAUGGCGGCGCUGGAUCGAGGAUCUGCGGCGAUUCCAUGACCUGAGCGCGCUGCUGCGCUCGUGAGUUCCCCAUCCCGGUAAUCUCGCAGCUCGGAUUGAAUCCUACCGAGGUCACCCGUCGUAAAGCAUCUCCUCCGUCCAGAUAUUUGGAAACCAACCUCAUCCAGGGAGGUCGAGCCGGCAGCACCAUGCUUGAUUGAUUCGUCGGGAGCUCGACUAUAGAGUGAAGCAGCAAACCAUGGAGGAUUUCGGGCUACUUGGGCUUUGAGCAGCAAGCCAUGUUGAACUGACAUGGAGUUUGGAAAAGGUCUGCAUCCAGGUGAAGGUGCUAAUCCUACAAUUAAAUGACCAUCCAACUUAGGUUUGGGUAGCAUGCAGGUGAUAGCUGCAGCAAAUCGUAUGGACAUUCACCAUCUUGUUGUGUUGUCUUCGAGCAGCUGAAAAAGAGUGAUAUCAUUUAGGCGAAUGAAUAUGCAUAUGCAUUGAGAGCUCAUGUACUGGUGUUACAAGUUCCCUAACAUUGAUUAAAUUGGUCUAAAGAAGAUCGCUCCAAGACUGACUGCGCGUAUGAUCAUUGGUUCAGAGGCUGGAGAUCUGUGGAAACAGCUUAGUUCACAUGGCUCACAUAUGUACCUCUUUGCUCAUGAGAUAUGCAUGCUACGUUUUCCUUUCAUUAAGAGUAUGAGUCUGCAAUGCAGGAAUAGAGGGCCAUUGUUCCUACUCACAAGAAACAAACCAUCAUAGAAAUAGCUGUAGGGGAUAUAUAUGAACUUUGAUAUGGUUUAGCUAAGGAUACCAUGAGAUCCGUCAGGCCAGAUCUAUCCCCAAAUGAGCUUUACAGUUGGUCUGCUAUCUAUGUAGCAGCAGCUGAUGCAUUCAAACCAAAUUAUUCUGUACUUGUUUUUUGUGCUAACUGCAUGUUCUUUUCUUCCUUCUAAGAAAAUUGGUAAUCGGCAGUGUGUUAUUUUUGCAUAA